UACGUAGGGUGCAACGUUGUCCGGAAUUAUUGGGCGUAAAGAGCUCGUAGGCGGUCUGUCACGUCGGCUGUGAAAUCCCGAGGCUCAACCUCGGGUCUGCAGUCGAUACGGGCAAACUAGAGUAUUGCAGGGGAGACUGGAAUUCCUGGUGUAGCGGUGAAAUGCGCAGAUAUCAGGAGGAACACCGGUGGCGAAGGCGGGUCUCUGGGCAAUAACUGACGCUGGAGGAGCGAAAGCGUGGGGAGCGAACAGG
rnacentral:rRNA from 1 species